CAUCUUGGAGCAUGGUCCAAAGUCCACUGAAGUCCAUGAGAGUUUUUCCAUGGACUUCAAUGGGGUUUGGAUCAGGCCCAUAUUUUG
rnacentral:pre_miRNA from 1 species